UGUUUAAGUAUAAGCAAUCCAGCACCAGUAAAGACAAGAUGACUCCAUUCCACCUAUGGUGUUUAGUACCUCAAUUUAUAGGGACAGUGAUGAUAACAGAAAUAUGUGGAAUGCACACUUGGACUGUUCUUCACCAGCAUGAGCACCACAAGGCCUUCGCCACAUUUCAGCUGAUGGCCAAAGCAGCAAAAUCAGCAUCUGUAAUUUAAUGACGGCGUACUGAUGAGCAUGGGAGCACAAAUCAGUUCCAUGUUAGCCCAUGAGGCUGGCUGGACAUGUCCAUUUUUAUCACCUUUUAUAUGAGCACUACAUAUCAGUGUUAAAAAUGAUUGUGGUGUAAGGAUUUGAUUUGUAUGUAAAAAUGAAACUGCAUAGACAUUUUUCAAAUUCUGGAUUCAGUUUUGUUUGAUUGUCCUCCUUUCUCAACUCAGAAUUUUUCCCCAGAUUAAUACACAAUCUUCUUUUCAUACUUUCCAUAGCGUCUCUUGCACCCAAUCCAAUGUCUCUCCUUCAUUCUGUCAUCUCUCCCUUUCUCUACGUCCUCCCCAAAAGGACAGAAUAAUAUUUGGACAGGUGUUCCAUUUUAAACACGUAGGGGACCACACUACAUCAUUCCCAAACCCUUUUCUUUCAAAACGGAGCAUCCAGAGAAACAUGGCUCUAGUUUCAGACUGACUAUAAUCCGUAUUGUAAUGCAUCCGAAAUCCCAGACAAUAAAGAUCUGUUUAGCACCAAUUUUCCUUUUUUUUUUUUUUUUUUUUUUAAGAAAAAAUGUUUUUUUUUUCCUGAUUCAAGCAACGGCAGAGGGCACAUCUGCAAGACAGAUGUGUGUCCAAGAGCAAGCUGCCUUCUUCCCCUCCCUCCCUCUCCCUCUCGCUCUCCUCGCACUUCCACUCUCCCUUCAAAAAAGAGCAAGCCUCCCUCUUUCCCACUCUGGACCACCCACAUACGGACAUGCCUUGUUGUAAUGAAGGCAGAAAUAAAGAGAUGAGUCUUUUGACUGAUGGGUUUUGCAGACUAUCAUUUAUGCCUUACAUACCAUCAACCCACCCUUACAAAAAUGAUCAAGUGUGAGGGCAGAAGGGUGAGAAGAGGAGUACGUAAAUCUACAUCUCUAUCUGCCUGCUGUCAUUUUUUCCAACUGCAUUAAGGCCUUAUACAUGCUUAUCUACAGUUCUCAUGCAUUUGUAGAUAAAACCACUAUUAUAUUAGUUUGUUAAAAAAAAAAAAAAAAAAUUAUUAUUAUUUUAUUUUUUACUAAAUGGAUUGCAAG